rnacentral:rRNA from 1 species
UCUCUAUGCGGUGUCAGCAGCCGCGGUAAUACGUAGGGUGCAAGCGUUAAUCGGAAUUACUGGGCGUAAAGCGUGCGCAGGCGGUUUUGUAAGUCUGUCGUGAAAUCCCCGGGCUCAACCUGGGAAUGGCGAUGGAGACUGCAAGGCUAGAGUUUGGCAGAGGGGGGUAGAAUUCCACGUGUAGCAGUGAAAUGCGUAGAUAUGUGGAGGACACCGAUGGCGAAGGCAGCCCCCUGGGUCAAAACUGACGCUCAUGCACGAAAGCGUGGGGAGCAAACAGGAUUAGAUACCCUGGUAGUCCACGCCCUAAACGAUGUCUACUAGUUGUCGGGUCUUAAUUGACUUGGUAACGCAGCUAACGCGUGAAGUAGACCGCCUGGGGAUACGGUCGC